CUGGAGCCCUGCGCAUGGAACAGAGGAACAGAGGAAGCUGUGAGAUGCUGACUGAAGCUUCAACAGUUUUCUCCUCUCUCUGGCUGAGAUGCUUCUGUGAUGAAAGAAAGUAGGACCUGGGACAAGACAGGCAUGAUCUGGAGGCUUCAGAGCAUCAUCUUGGGAAAUGAUAACUCAUUUCCUAGUAUCAGUCAAUGUCUGUAUCCACCUGCUUUUGGAGGAGAAUGCCAGGAUGAUGUCACCCAAAGGCUGCAGGUCAAUGCUGCAGCACAAGUGGGAACAGCAUUUUCCCUGUUCAAGUGCCUCUACUAUUCAGCGGAAUGGUUUUUGCAAUGGGAGUUUGAGGCUUUUCCAGCAGUGCUGCUGCACCCAGGGAAGAUGCACAGCACAGCUCUUUCAGUAGCUUUUGAGGAUGUGGUACUACGUGAAUGAGGCUGGAUAUGAGAAGUUGGAAAAAGACAGCAGGAAGAAGAAAGCGUGUAGGGUCAGCCUGGAGUUUACUUCUUGCUCCUUCUUCACUGCAGCUAUUUUGAGACUAGGAAAAAGUUGACUUGGAAGACUCUUGCUCCUCUUGCUGUGCAGGCACUGACUCAAGAAGAGCUGGAUGCAGACACAGCACAGCUGAAGCCAGA